rnacentral:rRNA from 1 species
CAAUCCAUGAGUACAGUGGCGUACGGGUGAGUAACACGUGACUACCUACCCUCGAGUGGGGAAUAACCUCGGGAAACCGGGGCUAAUACCGCAUAACAUCUACGGAUCAAAUGCGUAAGCAGCUUGAGGAGGGGGUCGCGGCCGAUUAGCUAGUUGGUGAGGUAAUGGCCCACCAAGGCGAUGAUCGGUAGCCGGCCUGAGAGGGCGCACGGCCACACUGGAACUGAAACACGGUCCAGACUCCUACGGGAGGCAGCAGUGGGGAAUUUUGCGCAAUGGGGGAAACCCUGACGCAGCAACGCCGCGUGGAGGAUGAAGCCCCUUGGGGUGUAAACUCCUUUCGAUCGGGACGAUUAUGACGGUACCGGAUGAAGAAGCACCGGCUAACUUCGUGCCAGCAGCCGCGGUAAUACAGAGGGUGCAA